rnacentral:rRNA from 1 species
UACAGAGGUCCCAAGCGUUGUUCGGAUUCACUGGGCGUAAAGGGUGCGUAGGCGGUCGGGUAAGUCUGAUGUGAAAUCUCACAGCUUAACUGUGAAACUGCAUUGGAUACUAUCCGGCUCGAGGAAUGGAGGGGAGACUGGAAUACUUGGUGUAGCAGUGAAAUGCGUAGAUAUCAGGAGGAACAUCGAUGGCGAAGGCAGCCCCUUGGACCUGUACUGACGCUCAUGCACGAAAGCGUGGGGAGCAAACAGG